UGCAAAAAGAGUGAAGAAAAGACGUAAACAGAUCAGCAGAGUUGGAUAGUAUUUUCUGAAGAAUCAUUUUGAUAUCUACUUGCAAAUUUAUGAAUUCGAACAUUAAAAAGUGAAUUAGUUUUGUGUAUACUAUAAAGUAACACAUAUAGAAGUACAGAGCACUGGAGAUAAAACGAUAUAAGAGAAUUGUAUCACUGAAUUGAAUUGCACAACCGUCGAUCUUCCAAGCAAUUAGAAACUCCAAAUUUUGUAAGCUUUACUCAACACUAAGGCAGGCAGGACCCAAAACUGUACCGUACGCAACCACAUUCCAG